UACAGAGGUCCCAAGCGUUGUUCGGAUUCAUUGGGCGUAAAGGGUGUGUAGGUGGCGCCGUAAGUCGGGUGUGAAAUUUCGGAGCUUAACUCCGAACCUGCAUUCGAUACUGCGGUGCUUGAGGACUGGAGAGGAGACUGGAAUUCAUGGUGUAGCAGUGAAAUGCGUAGAGAUCAUGAGGAAGACCAGUGGCGAAGGCGGGUCUCUGGGACAGUUCCUGACACUGAGACACGAAGGCCAGGGGAGCAAACGGG
rnacentral:rRNA from 1 species